GACGAACGCUGGCGGCGUGCUUAACACAUGCAAGUCGAACGGUGAAGCGCCUUCCUUUUUGGUGGGUGUUGAUGAGUGGCGAACGGGUGAGUAACACUUUAGUAACCUGCCCCCUUCUUCUGGAUAACCGCAUGAAAGUGUUUCUAAUACGGGAUAUUCUGUGUCUGUCGCAUGUUUGGUCUGUGCUAGAUAUUGUUUCGGUGUGGGAUGGUCUCGCGUCGUAUCAGCUUGUUGGUGGGUUGAUGGCCUACCAAGGCGGUGGCGGGUAGCCGGCCUGUGAGGGUGGACGGUAAGAGAGGGAGGGAGAAAAGGAAGAGACUAGUAGAGGAGGCAGAAGUGGAGAAGAGUGCACAAUGGGAGAAAGGAUGAAGCAGAGACGCCGCGUGAGGGAUGGAGGCCUGCGGGUUGUGAACCUCUUUCGCGAGUGAAGAAGGCCUGCAUGGUUUGUGGGUGGGGUGACGGUAGCUGGAUAAGAAGCGCCGGCUAACUACGUG
rnacentral:rRNA from 1 species